rnacentral:rRNA from 1 species
UUGGAGGGCAAGUCUGGUGCCAGCAGCCGCGGUAAUUCCAGCUCCAAUAGUGUAUAUUAAAGUUGUUGCAGUUAAAAAGCUCGUAGUUGAAUUUCGGGAUCAAAUAAUCGGUCGUGCCUCCGGUACGUACUGGUUUUAUUGGUUCCUCCCUUCUGACGAACCAUGAUGUCAUUAAUUUGAUGUGGUGGAGAAUCAGGACUGUUACCUUGAAAAAAUUAGAGUGUUUAAAGCAGGCUAACGCUUGAAUACAUUAGCAUGGAAUAAUGAAAUAGGACGUUCGACCCUAUUUUGUUGGUUUCUAGGAUCGACGUAAUGAUUAAUAGGGAUAGUUGGGGGCAUUAGUAUUCAAUUGUCAGAGGUGAAAUUCUUGGAUUUAUUGAAGACUAACUACUGCGAAAGCAUUUGCCAAGGAUGUUUUCAUUAAUCAAGAACGAAAGUUAGGGGAUCGAAGACGAUCAGAUACCGUCGUAGUCUUAACCAUAAACUAUGCCGACUAGGGAUCGGAUGAUGUUAAUUUUUUAAUGACUCAUUCGGCGCCUUACGGGAAAC